AGCACUAACUCUGUGGCUCAACCCUCUGUGGUUUCUGUUUCGUUCUCAGACGAUCGGCAUGUGGUCAGGACAGACCCGAGGAGCGAUCGGAGAUGAUGAGAGAUGAUGGUUUGGAGCAUCAUCAUAACCACACCGCUAUGAAGGCAAAACCCAGGAAGAGCAUCACACUUUAACUUUGUGCCGCACUAAAACUUCAGGUUAAUUAUUAAAAGAGGAAACACGAUAUUUCUUUUAGUUCUGUAGGUGCAAUAUGUUCUUUCCUCCACAGAUAGAGAAAUUUUUAGACCUUAUAUAAUUCCUCCUCACUCCUCACUAAAACGUCUCCGCCCGUUUGUAUGGUGUGAAAUACGAUCCUCCUGAAACACAGAGUGUUUUAUUUUGAAAAGAAGCCGGAUGUUUUAUUUUGUGUCUGUGUCCGACUUCCUUUUCAGCACGGGUUAAUCUGUGCUGAAUUUAUCCGCCAUGCUCCGGCGUUCAGAGAAAUUCAGCACAGUUGCGAUCAGCUAAGGAGUCCGGUGAUCCACAGAGGAACGGAAAGAAGAUGGUGGAAAUUGACACGUUAACUUGAACGGUUACGAUCAGCUACGAUCGGAGGAUUCGGCUUUUUUGUAACUGUCCCGGAUGCGGUGGAAAUUGGGGGUUUGUCUGAAAAUCCAAUAAAGAGCAUCCAUCAGACAUGUUGGACAUGUUGGGUCCCCAACUCUCACAGCAGAGUCCACGGUCUGUCGUGUUGUUUGGGCUGAUUUCAGUGUAGGACUGUAGACCCCGGGGAGGACAGUUCUGGUAUUUUUGUUUUGGUUUGUAAAGUGUCUGACUUUGACUUCUCCUGUUUCUCUUCAUUACUGCAGGCUGUGGCUGGAGGGCGUGGCUGACCUACUUCCUGGUGGGGAACACCUGAUGGCCCUCUGCAGUCGACUCACCUCUCCAUAAAAACCGGCUCAGCCUCCACUCCUCUGCCAGGUAAGUCUGUCUCACUCUGUAGAGCCAAGUUACAGUUUCCUGGUGAAAGCCUUCUUUUAAAUUCUGUGAACAUUCACCCCGUCCUCCUGACCACCUUCUCUUUUGUUCCUUCUUCAGAUCGGUGCCUCUGGUCUUCAGUUCGGUGUGGAUUUUAAGCCUGUGGAGAUUUUUGUAAGUAAGUGGAUUUUCGUGUCUCCUGUGGGACAAUAAAGACCUUUUUGAACUGCUUUUGAAGUCUCCUGCCUUUUUGAGUCCAGUCAAGCUACGGCAAAAUCUCCUGCAAGGGUAUAAGAAGAGGAGGAGGAAGGUGGGGUUGAUGGAGGCUGAGCUUCACCAGCAGCAGAGGAGAGGAAGGAGAGGAAAGACGGGUUCAAAUGGACCACCUCGUUUUAAAAAUGGGUUUAAAGGUGAUUGGACAUAAUCAUUAAUCAGCUGGUUUAAGCAUGCAACUCUAUAACCCAUGAACUAAUCCAGAGCUUCAGAAUCAAAUCUGUCCAAGAACAGGGACUUUAUGAAGCCGAUGCAGAAUUUAAACCACUUUUCUUUUAAUUCCUUUCAUCACAAUCGUCAGUUUAACAUUUUUUUCCAUUUGUUCAAAUGGAUUUUUGCCAAGACUGCCGUCCUAAACCGACAUCCACCUUUGCAGAUAACUUCCUCCUUUAGUUCCUCUGAAAUGUUGUUGCAGUAGAAACACAAUCUCUGCAGCUGGUGGAGGAAUCCUGGUUCCUUCAGGCGAGGCAGGAAAUUUAACACCUCCAUCCUUUAUUUUUAAAAAACGUUUUAAAUUUCUAAAAUCAGCUGCGGGCUCAUUGAUGAAUCCCUUUUUUCAUUUUUAUAGUGAGAGGUACAACAUGUAAUCACGAGCCGGAGACACAGGGUAGGAAAUUUCUCAGCUUCCUUAAAAACAUAAAAACCUGCAGCUUUACCCCCUAAGAGGAGAUGAUGGGAGCUCAGAUCCCCACUGGGAACCAGUCUGCGUGCUCAUUAGGACUCUGACGCCUCGUUUAAAAGCGCUCAUUAGAAGGUGUUUGGUGUUUUUGGAGUCCCCGACCAAACCUCAGAGCCAUUACUCCAUCAUCAACCAUCCUUUCCCUCCGCUGAGUCCCAGUUCACCCUCUCAGACCGGCGCAGGCUUCCCCUCUGCUCUUAUGUCUUCAUCACACGUACUUUUACAUCUGGAGGAGCGUCUUCAGAGCCUGCUCCGUGUCUAAUUCACAUCCAGGGGAUCAGAGCUCGGCUGUGUGAUCAUUUGAAGUGUCAGAAAAGUCUGUGAGGCCUCAAAGUCAAUCCUGCAUGCUGUUAAAUCUGUCUGAUAGCUUCUCUCUGCAGAGUCAUGG
rnacentral:lncRNA from 1 species